AUUGAACGCUGGCGGCAUGCUUUACACAUGCAAGUCGAACGGUAACAGGCCGCAAGGUGCUGACGAGUGGCGAACGGGUGAGUAAUGCAUCGGAACGUGCCCAGUCGUGGGGGAUAACGCAGCGAAAGCUGCGCUAAUACCGCAUACGAUCUAAGGAUGAAAGCGGGGGACCGUAAGGCCUCGCGCGAUUGGAGCGGCCGAUGUCAGAUUAGGUAGUUGGUGGGGUAAAGGAUCACCAAGCCAACGAUCUGUAGCUGGUCUGAGAAGACGACCAGCCACACUGGGAGUGAGAGACGGCCCAGUCUCCUAAGGGAGGCAGCAGUGGGGAAUUUUGGACAAUGGGCGCAAGCCUGAUCCAGCAAUGCCGCGUGAAGGAAGAAGGCCUUCGGGUCGUAAACUGCUUUUGUACGGAACGAAACGGAUCUGGUUAAUACCUGGGGCUAAUGACGGUACCGUAAGAAUAAGCACCGGCUAACUACGUGCCAGCCGCCGCCGUAAGAC
rnacentral:rRNA from 1 species